rnacentral:rRNA from 1 species
UACGGGGGGAGCAAGCGUUGUUCGGAUUUACUGGGCGUAAAGGGCGCGUAGGCGGUCGUGACAAGUCACUUGUGAAAUCUCCGGGCUUAACUCGGAAAGGUCAAGUGAUACUGUCGGACUAGAGUGCAGAAGGGGCAACUGGAAUUCUCGGUGUAGCGGUGAAAUGCGUAGAUAUCGAGAGGAACACCUGCGGCGAAGGCGGGUUGCUGGGCUGACACGUGACGCUGAGGCGCGAAAGCCAGGGGAGCGAACGGG